rnacentral:ncRNA from 1 species
UUAGUUGAUCUUAUUAGUAGUCAUAUGCUUGUCUCAAAGAUUAAGCCAUGAAUGUAUAAAUAUAAAUUGUUUUAUAUUGUGAAAUUGUGAAUGGCUUAUUAAAUAAAUAAUAGUUUAUUUGAUAGUACCUUACUACUCAGAUAACUAUAGUAAUUCUAUAACUAAUAUGUGUAAAGAGUCCUGACCUUCAAAAGGGAUGCACUUACUAGAUUCAAGACUAAUGCAUACUCAUUUAUAUUCUCAGUGGUUCAUGAUAACUUGUCAAAUCAUAUGGUCCUCGUGUCAGUGAUACUUAAAUUAAAUUUCUACCCUAUCAACUUUUGAUGGUAGGAUAUAAUAGGGAAUUAGGGUUUGAUUUUGAGAUACAGCUACCACAUAUAGGGAAGGUAGCAUGGAGGAAACGCGUGACAGACUACGAGAGUGGAUCGGAAGAAGCCAAAGAGAUAACGCAGAGAGUGAAUGCU